AGGCCCAGUUUUACAUUUUUGACAAGAUUAAGACAGAAGGAGGGUUCCAGAGAAUAGAGGAAGUCCACCUUAGGUCAGAGGUCAUGGUCCCGAGAAGCAUGAUUGGAAGAAUUAUUGGGAAAGGAGGACAAAAUGUUCGGGAAAUGCAGCGAGUAAGUGGUGCAAUAGUUAAAGUUCCUGACCAGAAUUCCCAGAGCCACCAGGACGGAGACUUGGAGGUGGCAGUCUCUAUAAUCGGACAUUUCUAUGCUAUGCAGCCCGCCAUUAGAAGAAUCAGGUCACUGGUCAAUCCCCGCCCCCCACAGGGACCAGGACUCAUGCCCGGCCAACAGAGGCGAUUACAGCCGAGACCCCAGCACAACGGGAAGUAAGGCUGGAGUUGGUUGUGUGUUCAGGGAUGGGAAGAGGGGUACGGUUCAAUUAUAAGGUGUUCAACAUUGAAGAUGAAUGCUUUGUUUUAUGAUGUAGGAAAGUAUGAUGGAUUGGUUUUGAAUUCAUCACCCAAGAGAUAUUUUCGACAUUUCCAAGUUGCCAAAGAAUUUUUAGUUUGAGUUUGAAAAUUAAUUACUGGCAAUAAUUUCAAGUUUUAAAAAAGUAAAGGAAAAAUGGGGGCUUUUUUGGGGGGAUGGGGUAGGAAAUCUAAUUUUUUUAUGUACAACAUAUUUUUACAAAGGGCAUUACAUGUAAGUAUAAUUUUUGAGAUUUAAUGCAUAAAGUGCUAAAUGUGAAAGGAUUGGUGACAUCUGUGGGUUGGAGGUACGUUUUUAAUGGUUGGGUAGGAUGGCUUGCCUUUUGUUGCAUGCCGGGGGUAGGAACAAAUGUUUAUUAGGCCAGUAUUGUUUUUUUUAGUAUUGGCCAUAUUUUUUUUUUGUAAUAAAUUUAUUUUUGAUACUUGUUGACAGAAUUUUUUGUUAGAAUUUUUAUGACCUGUUGAAGGACAAACUUUUUUUUAUUGUCCAUUAUAUUGAAUAAAAAAAAGAAUGAAAAAAGAAUAUCUUUAUUUCCAACUAGACAUUCUAUUCAAACACUGCAUACAUGUACAUUUAUAAUGUGCAACUUCAAACCAAACAGGUCUUAAAACUGACAAAGAAUUGUAUAUCAAAGCACUACACACAGCACACUUGAAAUGUCUAAAAUACCGUACUACAAAUUCAACUGUUACUACAGAAAGAAUAGAAUUCAGCUGAUCUUGCCUUUGAAAUUGUAAUGGUUGAUUUGUAUGUAAAUUAAUUUAUGAAAUAUGAAUGUCAUGUUUAAAAUACAAUGUAAAAUUGACUUAUUUUACAAACACGUGAGAAAAUGGAAAUCUUGAUGGCAUUCAGUGUAUUGUAAAUGUUGGAAAGGAGUUUUUAUGAUGAAAAUGUACAAAAAAAAAUUCCUGACAAAUAUUUCUAUCGAAAAGGAAUUUCUAUGUACUAUGCACUAUUUACAAAACGAAAAUGAAAAUCAUUAUUUUCAAGGCUUUGAAAGAGUGUUAUAUACCCCAUCUAACUUUGGAUGGAACUGUAAAAUAUGGAAAAAAAGUCUUGUUGUUUGUUAAAUAACCUUUGUAGUUUCAAUUUAUAAUGUUAUUCUGCAAGUUGCAAACAGUUAGUAUUUCAAUUAGUUGAUUCAUGGAGUUUGAAAACUUUUCCAAUUUUUAUGCUUCGGAUGUUCAUUUAUUAUUUUCAGUUCAGUAGAGUACUUGAAAGUUUUCACAAGGCUUUGGUACAAUGGAAAAAGGUCAAGUCUUUGAUCUCGUUAAAACAGGAUGAAUGAGAAAAUAUAUAAAAGUACAGUCAAAUUUCAUUGUCUCAAACUUGAUAGGCUAAGAAAAGAGCUGCCAUAUUUCCAUGAAUUUUUAGAUACUGAGAUUAAAAUACAUAAAAUGGUUGCGACUUCCAACUCCAACUAAAAGAACCAUAAAUUAAUUGAUCUAUGUUUGAGAUGAAGUUUAAUUGUAUCAAGAGAAAUAUAUAUAUAUUAUAUAUAUAAGUUUAAAGAAAAAAAUACUACCUCAGAAUGCUUAAAGGGUUGUUAUGUCAAAGACUUGAUCUUUAAAAAGUCUUGAUUAAUUUUUGAACAGUAAAUUAAAAAAAAAAAGUCUUUAUAUCAUGCAUUGUCUGUAUCUUACAUUUAUAGAUGUUUAAAAUAUGAUGAUGAUACUUUUUCAUGAAAUGAAACUUGGUUUCUCUUCAACAUGUAUGACCGAUAUAUCUAUAAAUAGUCUUUGAUGAGCUGAGUAUUCUUAGAUACUCGGAAUACCUCUGACUUUUUUCUAUCACAGUAUCUCCCCGUAGCUUAUGUACAGGAUCUUGUAUUAUUAGUGUAUUGCCUUGUCUUCAUAGCAGUAAAUGCAAACACAAUCACACUGACCUUUUAAAGUUUUACGUACUUAAAGAAAUGGUUUCAAUAUCUUUUUAAGGCACUGAUCUGUGCAAGGCAUGGUUGCUACGAAGACAUGACCCCUGGCGUUAGCAAUACUUAAGUGUUUUCCCCAUUUUGAAUAUUUUGAUUGUUUCCUUGUAUUAACAAACCAUUACUGUGUACAGAUUUUAUUGUGUUAGGGACGACCACAAGAACAGCAGAAAUUCACCAAAGCUCUGUCAGAUGAUAAUAUCUAACUAUGAAAAGGGGAGGCUUGGAUCAAAAUGGACUCUUAAAAACAACUGAUUUAAUUGAAAAUCCAAGCCUGCCCUCUGGUCUCAAUAGAGAAUUAAUUGCUAAAUGUGGCUACAUAGAGAAACAUGAUUUUGUCUUAAACACAAUUCACUGUGUAUUAAUGAAAAUGAAUGUUUGAACAUUGUUUAUAACAUCACAGAGAUCUGGAAAUCGUAGUUAAGACCAAUUUUUCAGUAAGUUGUGUCCCUACUCUUGAGCCACUUUUGUAUCCAUACAGACCCAGCAGUUUCUGUAAGCCGACUGUGCAUUCUGUAUAUGAUGUGUUCUAUUGUUUAUGUUUUAUAACAAUACAGUUGCCAGCUCUCGUGUUCUCAAAGGAUGUUACAGUCAGCCAGUUCGCAAUAUUGUCUCCCAUUUCUUACGGAAAUAAAAUUAUUCUAGUUCAUUGAA